CAAGUACUCCCUCCGUACGGAAUUACUUGUCAUCAAAAUGGAUGUGUCUAGAACUAAAAUACAUCUAGAUACAUCCAUUUCAAUGACAAGUAUUUUCAGACGGAGGGAGUACAAG
rfam:Triticum aestivum genome assembly, contig: Triticum_aestivum_CS42_TGACv1_scaffold_224877_3B